rfam:Simian immunodeficiency virus isolate SIVsmR95117, complete genome.
CUUGGCCCAUGGGGAAAGAAGCCCCGCAACUUCCCCAUGGCCCAG